rnacentral:lncRNA from 1 species
GGGAGGAGUAACAGCGCAGGCAUCCCUAGCAGCAGGAAAGCGAGGAUGGACACCUGUCCCCUAGGACGAGGGUCGUUAAUCCGGCUCCACUCCACAUCGGUGGGCACCUAUCCACCUGUCCUGGGCCAGAAAGGGAGAGGGACCCCGCUCCCUUCCCUCCUCUCACAUAGGCAACCCAAACACACCUUGGUCUCCCCACUGCUGUCAGACUCCGACACCUGGUAGGUGAGAUCUGUCUCUUCAAAGCCAGUGGCACUCAUUCUCUGGUCUGUUGUGGGGUCUGAACGGGGUGGAGAGUCUGGCGAGUUGAGGCAGGUCUGAAUCAGUGCCUUGCCGGUCUCACUGGUGAUCAUGGGCUGCAGUUUUCGGGUGGCAAAGGUAUACACAUGGCCUGUCUCACUGGCCACCAGCAACAGCACCUGUGUCCCUGUCAGCGUGGACAGCUCAUAGGCCUGAGGGGUGAGGAGGGAGAUGGGCAGGUCAGCAAACUUUUUAUCUCUACCUUCCUUGAGAAGUUGGAAAAAGAAUUAUACAGUGAUGUCAUUCCCCCAUUCCCAUA